AUUGAACGCUGGCGGCAGGCCUAACACAUGCAAGUCGAACGAGUGGCGGACGGGUGAGUAAUGUCUGGGAAACUGCCUGAUGGAGGGGGAUAACUACUGGAAACGGUAGCUAAUACCGCAUACCAUCAGAUGUGCCCAGAUGGGAUUAGCUAGUUGGUGGGGUAACGGCGCAACAAGGCGACGAUCCCUAGCCGGUCUGAGAGGAUGACGGGCCAAACUGGAACUGAGACACGGGCCAGACUCCUACGGGAGGCAGAAGUGGGGAAUAUUGCACAAUGGGCGCAAGCCUGAUGCGGCCAUGCCGCGUGUAUGAAGAGGGCCUUCGGGUUUUAAGGUACUUUCAUCAGGGAGGCGUUACCCGCAGAAGAAGCACCGGCUAACUCCGUGCCAGCAGCCGCGGUAAUUC
rnacentral:rRNA from 1 species